AUCAUGUAAAUAGUAAAGGUUUAAAAAAGGAUUUUUCCAUAACCUGGCAACAAGCCAAAGAAAUAGUAAAGAAAUGUCCUACUUGUUCCUUCUACAAUCAAACGCCAUUACCAGCAGGAUGUAACCCAAAGGGUACUCAGAGGAAUGAAAUCUGGCAGAUGGACGUGUUUCACUUUGCAGAAUUUGGAAAAUUGAAAUAUGUACACCACACUAUUGAUACUUAUUCAGGAUUUCAAUGGGCAACUGCUUUGAGUUCUGAAAAAGCUGAUUCUGUAAUCACUCAUUUGCUAGAAGUUAUGGCCAUUAUGGGUAUACCUGCACAAAUCAAAACUGAUAAUGCUCCAUCAUAUGUCUCUGUUAAAAUGAAACAGUUUUUUGCUUAUUAUAAUACAAACCAUAUUACAGGUAUACCACAUAAUCCUACAGGUCAAGCAGUUAUAGAAAGAUCAAACAGAACUCUAAAGGAUAUGCUAAAUAAACAAAAAGGAGUAACAAAAAACCCCAGAAAUAGACUACAUAAUGCUCUAUUAACUUUGAAUUUUCUCAAUGCCAGUGAGAAAGGAACAACAGCUGCAGAGAGACAUUGGAUAAUAGAAAAAACUACAGAAUUAAAUCAACCUAUAUACUUUAAGGAUGUGCUGACCUCAGAAUGGAAACCAGGAUAUGUAUUACAUUGGGGACGAGGUUUUGCUUUUAUUUCUACAGGAGACUAUAAGCUGUCGGUACCAUCAAAAUUGAUAAAGGUUCGAUUUGAACAAGAGAGACCACUUAAUUAGAGGAGGUGAUAGUUCAUCAACUAUCAUGAACAUCCAAUUUAAACUAACUUACACCAGUAACAUAUGCCUUUUCAUUUAAUUAGAUAAUAACUUGCCAAAAAGGAACAUCCCCAAAAAACCUUGGGGAAAGGUUUUUGUUUUUGCCUUUUAGGAGAAUGAAGGUUAAGGAAUUUGAAGAACACUGGACAAAUGAGACAACUGAAGAAAAGGGACAAAUCGUCUAUCCUAAGAAACAGAGUGAAAUGGCGUAUGGUUUUUUGCAGGAAAUCACGGUCAGGCCUAACAUCAACUGAAGUCUCCAGGAAGAAAAUGGGGCCCCACAACAACAACAAUUCCACGUGGACAAUAAUAACAUCAUUAAGCUGACAAACAUCAUCUACAGAUCAACUUUGAACUACAAAGUGCUCAGAGCAAUUUUGAGAGAGCUAGCUGAGAUGAUCCAGUCUCAAAGACUACUUGAAUAAGGAUUUGAGAUAAACCCUGAACUUUGGCAUUAUACACAGACUGGAUAACGAAGGAUAUAGUUACCUUUCCUAGAAUUUGACAAUUAACCUAAAAUUUUUCUUUCAGGAUAAAGAUAACUUCGCCCAUACCCAGAAGGAAGCAAUUUCAAGAAUACGACGCCCACAUUCCUAAAGAGGUGGUGUGGGGCAGUUGGUUUUUUUGGUCUUUUAGGUCUUUUAAUGGGUUUUGAGUCUGGGAUAAUUUUCAUUGAUUAGGGGGGUUGGUUACAAGUUGUUGUCAAGGGUGAGGAAAAGGGCUAAGCAAAGGAGAUUAGAUUUAAGGUUCUUAUUUAAAAAAAAAAGAAAGAAAAGAAAAGAAAAAUGUAAAUACUUUACAUUGGAUUGGAUUGUUUUAUAUUGUGUACAAAUUAUAUAUAUUGAAAUUGAUACUGUUAGAAAAUGCUAUAUGUAUAUUUCUAAUUGUACCGUUCAUUUAACAAUGUAAUGCAAUUUUCUGAUCCUUGAAUGUUGUUAUUACCAACUAUUAGGAUAUAAAGAAAUGAAAGUUAGUAGUUAGACAUUAUAAUAGAACUUGUAGUUAUAUUAGGUAUGUUUUCAAGAUUGAGUAGAUAUAUUUUAGAUAGACAGGUUAUCUUCAAACCCUUCAGAGAUCUACAGAAUAUGGCAUUUAAAAUGUUUUAAUAACUUAGAAAAUUUUUCUUUUUUGCUAUGACUAUGAGACAUGUCGGCUCCUGACAGUACCAAUCUACUUCAGAGAAAAUAUGGGCAUUGAAAAAACUGUAAUUGGAGUUAACUUUCAUUGUAGCAAAAGUUAGCCAUUGGACAACAAAGUAUCCUCGAAUCAACUGCUGACAAACAGGUCAGACAGGACACGAAACAAAGGACUACCGAUUCUUGUCAAAAUAAGUGUGGUUAUGGCUUUAUCAAAAGGCAUCUUCUGAGGCCAGGACAAUAUGGCACCAUCCCUGAAGUGGCCUUCGCAAUCCAGGAAAGGUACAGUGCCCUUUUCUUGAAGGCAGCUGAACAGGCAGUGGGCCAAUGGCUUCUGAUGUGCAAUGGGGAGGUGGCUGAAACAGUUAUUCUUGAAGAGUAAUUAAGCUCACACCUCUCAACAGAAGAAUGGCAUUUAAUAGAGGGAUGUGGAGAAGAACGGGAUGCUGAAAUGAAGCCACAUACACACAUAGCCAAAAAGAAUGGACAGCUGAAUUAAAAAAACAUCAACAAUUUCCACAAUUUAAAAUCCUGAAUCAUGACAUGACACUAGUGGAAUUCAGGUAUUUCUGGUAUAUAGACUGCUCUCACCCAAUGUGAGGUUGAACUGUUGACCUUGUGUACAUUCUACUUCACAAAUGAGUCUGUCAGAUACGCUAAGCCUAUAGGCUGAAGAUGAUGCCCCAACACUGCGGAGAAACCUCAGAUGAUUGUCCAGGCAGCUGGCUGUUUCUGUCAACUCACGAUUUUUUGGAAGUUGCUUGCAUAUACUUCCUGUUUUUAUUUUUUUUGUUAGCUAAUACUAUUUCCUUCUUGGGUCUCUGAGGGAGUUGAAGAUUAGUUAGUUAUAGUUGACGAUUAAUUAGGAUAGAAAGUGAAUUAGAUACAAUAGAAUAGAUAAUGGAAUUAUUUUCUCUGAAUUUGUCAAAUACAAAUGAACUAACAUUGUUUAGGUAUUUAUUACUUGUAUAUAUUGUAUAUAGUUAUUGUACUUUUGUAUAUAGUUUUUCUUAUGUCAGUUAUAAGCUUUUUCUUUUUCCUUUUUAUUAAAAUAGAAAAGGGGAAAUAUGGUGAUAUUUUAUUUGUAUUAAAAUGUUAUUUGUAUGUUAAUAAAUAAAGUUGCCCGGGGGUCAGAGCUAUUAGCAAGCCAUAGGAAAGCAGGGCAGUGGUGGCGUACACUUGUAAUCCCAGCACUUGGUAUGCAGAGCUGGGUAAGUCUCUGUGCGUUCAGGAAUACAGCCAUUAUUGGACACACAUGCCUUUAAUCUCAAUACCAAGCAAGGAAAACCUGGAGGCCUAUACAGACAGGCCGUGACGAGGUGGUCAUGUGGUUGGGUUUACAACCAAUGAGAAGGCAGAAUAGGAACACUAUAUAAAGACUUUAACACAAGGGUAGCUAGUUCAGAAAGGUAGGACCACUGCAGGAGGAAGGGUAAGGUUUUAGCUCUUAGCUCUGACCUCUUGGCUUUCUUCUUUGCA